rnacentral:rRNA from 1 species
GACGAACGCUGGCGGCGUGCUUAACACAUGCAAGUCGAACGGAAAGGCCCUGCUUUUGUGGGGUGCUCGAGUGGCGAACGGGUGAGUAACACGUGAGUAACCUGCCCUUGACUUUGGGAUAACUUCAGGAAACUGGGGCUAAUACCGGAUAGGAGCUCCUGCUGCAUGGUGGGGGUUGGAAAGUUUCGGCGGUUGGGGAUGGACUCGCGGCUUAUCAGCUUGUUGGUGGGGUAGUGGCUUACCAAGGCUUUGACGGGUAGCCGGCCUGAGAGGGUGACCGGCCACAUUGGGACUGAGGUACGGCCCAGACGCCUACGGGAGGCAGCGGUGGGGAAUAGUGCACAAUGGGCGGGAGCCUGAUGCAGCGACGCCGCGUGCGGGAUGACGGCCUUCGGGUUGUAAACCGCUUUCGCCUGUGACGAAGCGUGAGUGACGGUAAUGGGUAAAGAAGCACCGGCUAACUACGUG